rnacentral:rRNA from 1 species
AUACGUAGGUGGCGAGCGUUGUCCGGAAUUACUGGGUGUAAAGGGCGUGUAGGCGGGGAUGCAAGUCAGAUGUGAAAUACCGAGGCUUAACCUCGGGGCUGCAUCUGAAACUGUGUUUCUUGAGUGUCGGAGAGGAAAGCGGAAUUCCCAGUGUAGCGGUGAAAUGCGUAGAGAUUGGGAGGAACACCAGUGGCGAAGGCGGCUUUCUGGACGACAACUGACGCUGAGGCGCGAAAGCGUGGGGAGCAAACAGGAUUAGAUACCCUGGUAGUCCACGCCGUAAACGAUGGAUACUAGGUGUAGGAGGUAUCGACCCCUUCUGUGCCGGAGUUAACACAAUAAGUUUCCCACCCGGGGAGUACGGCCGCAAGGUUGAA